rnacentral:misc_RNA from 1 species
GUAACAAGGUUUCCGUAGGUGAACCUGCGGAAGGAUCAUUAUCGAGUUAGGGUCUCUCACGGCCCGAUCUCCAACCCUGUGUCUAUAUUACCAUGUUGCUUCGGCGGGCCCGUCCAUCUCGGUGGACCGCCGGGGGGUCACUCGAACCUCCUGGCCCGCGCCCGUCGAUGGCCGCUAUAUCUAACUCUUGGUACAACCAUGUCAGUCUGAGUACACGUGUGGAAACACACCUUUUAAAAACUUGAAAAAACUUUCAACAACGGAUCUCUUGGUUCUGGCAUCGAUGAAGAACGCAGCGAAAUGCGAUAAGUAAUGCGAAUUGCAGAAUUACGUGAGUCAUCGAAUCUUUGAACGCACAUUGCGCCCUUUGGUAUUCCGAAGGGCAUGCCUGUUCGAGCGUCAUUAUCACCCCUCAAGCCUUCGGCUUGGUGUUGGACUGUCUAAGACCGCGGCCCUGUGGGCUUCGGUCGGUCCGAAAGAUAAUGGCGACGUCCGGUCGGGACCUCGAUACACUGAGCUCGUUUGUUUCUACAACAGCACGUAUCGCAGCGGCCGCCGGGCUUGGUCGUCUCUCCACCUCGCGUCGAGCGGGGGACGGUUACACGUCUCCUCUCGCAUCAAGGUUGACCUCGGAUCAGGUAGGAAUACCCGCUGAACCUAAGCA